rnacentral:rRNA from 1 species
AGAGAGAGACAUGCGCGCAUAUCAAUAAGCGGAGGAAAAGAAACUAACAAGGAUUCCCCUAGUAACGGCGAGUGAAGCGGGAAGAGCUCAAAUUUGAAAUCUUCAAGGUUUUACCUUGACGAAUUGUAGUUUAAAGAAGUGUUUUCGGUUAGAGGAGUAGUAAAAGUUCUUUGGAAUAGGACAUCAUAGAGGGUGAGAAUUCCGUAUUUGACUAUUCUUUCUAGCUUUGUGAUACACUCUCAAAGAGUCGGAUUGUUUGGGAAUGCAGUCCAAAAUGGGUGGUAAAUUUCACUCUAAAGCUAAAUAUUGGCGAGAGACCGAUAGCGAACAAGUACCGUGAGGGAAAGAUGAAAAGAACUUUGAAAAGAGAGUUAAACAGUACGUGAAAUUGUCAAAAGGGAAGCGUUUGAACACCAGUGUUGUUUUCUCGAAAAUCAAUUAAAAAAUGGCGGGAUUUUGUGUUGUAUUGACUUUAUCAGCUUUCUGCACUCUUUUUCUUAUCUUUUUUAAUGCACUUUUCGUUUAACAAGUCAACAUCAAUUUCUUUUGUUGUAAAAGGGUCAUUGGAAGGUGGUUUUCUUUUCGGAGAAAGUGUUUAUAGCCUUUGGCCUCUGCAAUCGGAGAGAUUGAGGUCUGCAGCGUAGAUCCUUCGGGGUUAGAUGCAUUUAGUGCUAAGUUAUAGCCUUUUCAUAGACAACUUGUUGACUAUGAUCAGGUCAUGUAGCUCACUCGCUUAUGCUAUUUUACCUACGCUUAGGAUGUUGACAGCAGUAUAGACUGU